UACGUAGGGAGCAAGCGUUGUCCGGAUUUACUGGGUGUAAAGGGUGCGUAGGUGGAUUGUUAAGUCAGUUGUGAAAGUUUGCGGCUCAACCGUAAAAUUGCAGUUGAAACUGGCAGUCUUGAGUACAGUAGAGGUGGGCGGAAUUCGUGGUGUAGCGGUGAAAUGCUUAGAUAUCACGAAGAACUCCGAUUGCGAAGGCAGCUCACUGGACUGCAACUGACACUGAGGCUCGAAAGUGUGGGUAUCAAACAGG
rnacentral:rRNA from 1 species